GCAAGAACAAAAGACAAACUAGAAUACAUGGUAGAGAAACAAAGAGUUACUUGACUUCUUAGCUCUUCAAAAAGUUAUUUCAUGUCACCAGGCUUAAGUAGGCAAAAUGGUCCCUUCCGUCCCUUAAAGCACAUCUGGUUUAUUGCUGUGGACCCCAUUCUGUAUAGAGGCCAAUCCCACACGUACUCAGAAACCCUGUGUAUCCAUGGAGUAGAGAUUCAGCCAAGACUCUGUCACCUGGGUAACAAAAUGCCAACUCAAGCUGAUGGACGUAAACAAACAGAGAGCGAGGGAGGGCGUUGACUGGUUCAGAUAAAUGAAGUACAGAGUAAGGCUGCUUUGGAUCCUACUAGAUACAGGGGCUCGAAAAGCUAUCAUCGCUCUUGGCCUCCAUCCCUUGGCUCACCUUUUAGUUCCCAUUAGCUGCACUUUCAAGAAAGCCCUCACCCCACGGAGGCCACUGUCAGACUCAGAUGAAUAUCCUGUCUGUUAUUGAAAAGAAAAGAGCUUUUUGUCCCAGGAGUUACAGCCAGUUCUCAGCCCUAAAUGUCACAGGUCCAAUGUGGGUCACUUGCUCACUCCUCAGCUCAUCACUGUGGCCAAGAGGGCAGAAUAUGCUGAUCAACCUCAUCUGAGCCCCGCGCUCCACCUGGCGAGGGAGUCCCCCGAAAGGACAUUGGGGGAGAGUGACCACAGGAGGGGAAGGGGAUGCCAGGCAGGAACAGCCGAUGACCACAACCCUCAGAAACCAGGUGGCUGUCAAGGAGGAGUGUUUUUAGUAAUGCUUCUUAAAUUCCAUUUAUGCACAGCUUUGGGGUUUAAUUAAAACGGAAGAUUUUUUUCCUCUGGAGAACUGUCCGCAUGACCAUGCCAGGCAAAAUGUCGCCUGCUAUUUUCGGGAGGGUUCAGGCAUCCUCAGAGUCUAGCUGAUCACACGGAACAAGAACUUCUUUCUGAGCUAACGGAUACUUGCAGGAGUAUGUGCAUCUCAUAGAUAAGUACAAUUUUAGGUUUGCGUUUCCUUCCACGUCUAUUGUUGCUGUUGUUUCUUUCCAAGCAAUUCUGUUUGUGCAGAAUUCCCCUUACGCAGCUAUUCGUUAUCUUUUGAGGCUAAUUUAAGGAUUCAGCAUAAAGACGCAGACUGCCAAAAAUAAAAAUGUUCUUUCAUCGUCCUAUUUCAUAUAGGCCUGUAUGUGGCUACUCUGGUGGAAAGAUUACACAUAACCAGACAACUUUUCUCAUAGUUAUGAUCAGAAAGAGAAAUUGUUUAAAUAUUAAAUGAGUGCUCAAAACAAAAUAUUUCAUAAAGUUCACCUCAGAAAUGCAAAUUUAAAUAUUUAAAUUAAAAUCAUUCUCACAAUUACAAAAAUAAAGUUAACUAGAUAUCGGGGAGAAAGAAGACAAUUUUACCCUCUCCUCACACAAAAAAAGGUAUCGUUCCAGAACAAUCUUCACAGAAAGGGAUCUUGCCUGGUGUUUGCAAGACAGGAUCUUAUAAUUUGCCAGGAAUGAAAAAGAAAGAUGGAGAGAGAAAGAAAGGGAGAUGGGAAAGGAGCAUAACUUUAGUUCUUGCCUUCAGAUUUUGGAAAAGAGAGGGGCUUACAUGAAAGCACAGAUCAAAGAAAUAGAAAAAAAUCGCCACAAUCAUCAUGUCCAACUUUUACUGAACAUUUUGUCCUUGAAAAUGGAACAAAUUUCAAGACCAAUAACUCUAUAACAAUGUAUCAGCUAUGGAAACAAAACAAGUUAAUGGUAGGAUGAGAUAAGGAAAUCAGUAGGAGAAAAACAUCGGGUAUUGAAAAGGACAGGAUUACAGAUAUAAAUUUCAAAAUACAUAAUAUCAAAUUCAUACCCAUACAUAGAGAAAUAUCUAGAAGGAUGUACACCAACCAAUGAAAAACACUUAUUCUUUAAAAGUUGAGGGGCAGUCUAAAAGAGGAAACUGUUAUUUCUUUUAUUCUUCUGCUUUGCUUAAAUUCAUUCUCAAAAUACUCAUCGGGUUAUAUAUGACUUGUGCAAUGAAAAAAAUAUACAAUAGAAAUAAAAAUACUUAAAAUAUGGGAAUAAGAAUUUCUGGUAUAAACAUAAUGACAGUUUGGCUCAGGAGUUCUCUUUUCUUCCUGAAAAGUAUUCUGAUCAACAAUGACUAUGAAAAGUAUUCUGAUCAACAAUGACUAUGAAAAGUAUUCUGAUCAACAAUGACUAUGAAAAAAGUAUUCUGAUCAACAAUGACUAUGAAAAAAUUUUUUUGUUCUCUUGGUAAACUUGAAUACCAAGAACACUGCAAACUCUUUAUUAUUAUUCUUAGCUGCCUCAGACAGCUGAGAUCAAUCAGAGACCCAAAAGAAGCUGUUCUGAAAGCAGCAGAGAGCAGCCCAGGAAGCGUUGAAGAGACCCAGGAUGGUAGCAGGUCCUAACAAGCAUAAGCACAGAUUAUCUUUAGAAUGAGAGGGAUCCACUAAAAGAGAAAGAAGGUGUCUCUCUGGAAUGGCUGACACAGAACAGAGCUAAGAUCAUGCUGUUAGGUCAGAGAAGCCAAGGAAGCCUGAUUGCACGGCACAGAGAUACUACAGUGAAGCAGUGUCUCUUAGGCAGUAAAGGCAAGCAUCUUGAGUGACAAAGCCUAGAAUUUCAUCUUGCCCUCCUCGCCACUCCUAAUAAAACAUCCUUUAAAAAAAGGUGGUCUGAAAAAAAUCAAGCCCAAUCAGUCAUGCAUAGCAUAACUGGAAUAAUAUUUUUUUAAAUGAAUUUUUGGAAAGCAUCAAAACUUUGCAACAGCUAAAAAAACACUCAAAAAUAUUGCCAUAAAACAGAUGAAUUUAUAAUCACCAAUUUUACUGUGAUACUUUAAAAACAUAACAGAACAAUGCUCUCUAUAAAGGAAGAUACAAAAUAAAAAUGCAAGAAUGUAGGGCAGAGGAGGGAGGGUAAAACACCUGUUGGCAGAACUUAGGAAAAUAAUACAAGAAAAAAAAGUUACAGAAAUUGAUUUUGUUUUAAUGGAAGGAGAAAGGGGAAAAUAGAAACUGUAGAAAACCCAAAAAGGAAUAUUAAGUAUACAAAUAAGCUAAUAAAAUCAGAUGGAAUUAAAGAAAAAAAUUUUAAUUAGAAAGACAAUAAUAAUUAUAAAAGAAAAUUAAUCUAAGAGAUACCCAAGUCAAAGGAUAUCCAACAUAUGCACCCUUGGAAUCCUCCAGAAGGGAAAGCAAAACGGAGAAAGAAUUUUUAAAUUAUCAAUAAUACAACAUCCCUGAAAUAAAGGAAGACUUGAAUUUUCACAUUCAAAAGGCAUAUAUCAUGGAUCCCAGAAGGCAAAGACAGAAAGGGCCUGAGAAUAUAUUUGAAGAGAUAAUAGCUAAAAACCUCCCCAACACGGGAAAGGAAAACAGUCAUCCACAUCCAGGAAGCCCAGAGAGUCCCCAAAGAGGAACACACCAAGACACACCGUGAUCAAAAUGCCAAAAGCAUAUCAUGUACUAGGAAAAAUUAAACUGGAGCAACAAACACUGAGACAUACUCUCUUUAAAGCUAUGGGAAUUUCAAAAUGAAAUAAACAAACCUCUAGGUCUUUAAGGAUCCAGUCAUCUAUAAGUUGUGGAAGUGUGGGGAAUGUUUUUAUAGAACACGUUUUUAAAAAAUAAUAAAAACUGGCAGAAGAAGAUAGGAGGUAGAAAAUAGGUGAGGACAAAACAGUGUAUUUUAAUAUUAACAAAACAAGGGGCAGAAGUGAAAACAUAAGUAGCUCUACAAAGGUGACAAUACUACAGUUGAGGGAGUGAGACCAUAUGGAGAAAGGAGAGACUAUGAGCUAAAUUUAUCACUGAUAACAGUUAAUUGAGAUUAUUAUGGAAAGGUAAACUUUGUAUAAGGUAGCCUUUGUAUGAAGUCGUCUUUGUAUGUGGUAGUAAUGCCUUUAUAUAGUAGAGUUAGAGAAAAUAUUUAUACAAGGAGUUUCUAAUAUGGCUCAGUGGAAACAAAUCUGAUUGGUAUCCAUGAGGGCACAGGUUCGAUCCCUGGCCUCGCUCGGUGGGUUAAGGAUCCAGCAUUGCCGUGAGCUGUAGUGUAAGGUCACAGAUGUGGCUCAGCUCUGAUGUUGCUGUGGCUGUGGCGUGGGCCAGUGGCUACAGCUCCGAUUGGACCCCUAGCCUGGGAAGCUCCAAAUGCCAUGGGUGCAGCCCUAAAAAGACCAACAAAAAUCAUAUAAAAAUACUAAAUGUUUGUCAAAAAUACAAACCUUCCCAAAUAUCAAAAGAAUUACGAUGUGAAAGCAAGCAAAGAGAAACAUAAAGUAAUAUGACAGAACAGAAACAAAUAUAUCUUCCAUAGGCAUAAAUAAAAAUGAGCUAAAGUUUACUAUUAAAAGACAGAGAUUUUCAUAAAUUGGAAUUCAUAGAGAAACUACGUUCUGCUCUGCAUACAAGAGAGACAUCUAAAACCAGUGAUUCAGAAGGCUCGAAAUGGAACUAUGUCCAAUUGCUUGUGAUGGAGCAUGAUGAAAGAUGAGACAGAGAAUGUGCAUAGAUGUAUGACUGGGACACUUUGCUGUACAGCAGAAACUGACAGAACAAUGUACAUCAACUAUAAUAAAAUCAAGUUUUGAAAGGUAAGAAAGCUUGAAAUGAGAGGAUAGGCAAGGAUUUUCAAGACAAAUGCAAAAUUUUUAAAAUGCAAGCUUACUGCUAUUGAUAUAGAAAUACAUAUGCAUAUAUGAGAAGGAAAUAUGAUUGUUUUACUUUAAGAGCUAUCCUAAGCCUGCUUGUAGCUUCUGGAUCCAUCAGUUACUACCUGUCCUAGAUGCUAAACAGGGAAAAAAAAAAAAGCAUCCUUUCUGUUACUCUGGACAUUAAAUAACCUUAACUCCUCACUAAACAGCCAAGCCGCUACCUGUCUCCAAGAAUCUAAACUACCUUUUUCAAAAUGGCAGCCAUAAUGCAGAUAAGUCCAUUGCUUUUUCCUAAAUGCCCUUCACAACUGAGUUUCUUGGAAUUCCCAUCGUGGCGCAGCAGAAACAAAUCUGGCUAGGAACCAUGAGGUUGAGGGUUCAAUCCCUGGCCUCACUCUGUGGGUUAAGGAUCCAGCAUUGCCGUGAACUAUGGUGUAGGUUCCAGACACAGCUCAGACCUUGCAUUGCUAUGGCUGUGGUGUAGGCUGGCAGCUGUAGCUCCAAUUAGACCCCUAGCCAGGGGACCUCCAUAUGCUGCAAGUAGGGCCCUAAAAA
rnacentral:lncRNA from 1 species